GGGUUGUGAGGUUAAGCGACUAAGCGUACACGGUGGAUGCCCUGGCAGUCAGAGGCGAUGAAGGGCGUGCUAAUCUGCGAUAAGCGCCGGUAAGGUGAUAUGAACCGUUAUAACCGGCGAUACCCGAAUGGGGAAACCCAGUGUGAUUCGUCACACUAUCAUUAACUGAAUCCAUAGGUUAAUGAGGCGAACCGGGGGAACUGAAACAUCUAAGUACCCCGAGGAAAAGAAAUCAACCGAGAUUCCCCCAGUAGCGGCGAGCGAACGGGGAGGAGCCCAGAGCCUGAAUCAGCAUGUGUGUUAGUGGAAGCGUCUGGAAAGGCGCGCGAUACAGGGUGACAGCCCCGUACACAAAAGCGCAUGUGUUGUGAGCUCGAUGAGUAGGGCGGGACACGUGGUAUCCUGUCUGAAUAUGGGGGGACCAUCCUCCAAGGCUAAAUACUCCUGACUGACCGAUAGUGAACCAGUACCGUGAGGGAAAGGCGAAAAGAACCCCGGCGAGGGGAGUGAAAAAGAACCUGAAACCGUGUACGUACAAGCAGUGGGAGCACCCUUUGGGGUGUGACUGCGUACCUUUUGUAUAAUGGGUCAGCGACUUAUAUUCUGUAGCAAGGUUAACCGAAUAGGGGAGCCGGAGGGAAACCGAGUCUUAAUUGGGCGUUAAGUUGCAGGGUAUAGACCCGAAACCCGGUGAUCUAGCCAUGGGCAGGUUGAAGGUUGGGUAACACUAACUGGAGGACCGAACCGACUAAUGUUGAAAAAUUAGCGGAUGACCUGUGGCUGGGGGUGAAAGGCCAAUCAAACCGGGAGAUAGCUGGUUCUCCCCGAAAGCUAUUUAGGUAGCGCCUCGUGAAUUCAUCUCCGGGGGUAGAGCACUGUUUCGGCUAGGGGGCCAUCCCGGCUUACCAACCCGAUGCAAACUGCGAAUACCGGAGAAUGUUAUCACGGGAGACACACGGCGGGUGCUAACGUCCGUCGUGAAGAGGGAAACAACCCAGACCGCCAGCUAAGGUCCCAAAGUCAUAGUUAAGUGGGAAACGAUGUGGGAAGGCCCAGACAGCCAGGAUGUUGGCUUAGAAGCAGCCAUCAUUUAAAGAAAGCGUAAUAGCUCACUGGUCGAGUCGGCCUGCGCGGAAGAUGUAACGGGGCUAAACUAUGCACCGAAGCUGCGGCAGCGACACUAUGUGUUGUUGGGUAGGGGAGCGUUCUGUAAGCCUGUGAAGGUGUGUCGUGAGGCAUGCUGGAGGUAUCAGAAGUGCGAAUGCUGACAUAAGUAACGAUAAAGCGGGUGAAAAGCCCGCUCGCCGGAAGACCAAGGGUUCCUGUCCAACGUUAAUCGGGGCAGGGUGAGUCGACCCCUAAGGCGAGGCCGAAAGGCGUAGUCGAUGGGAAACGGGUUAAUAUUCCCGUACUUGGUGUUACUGCGAAGGGGGGACGGAGAAGGCUAUGUUGGCCGGGCGACGGUUGUCCCGGUUUAAGCGUGUAGGUGUGUGUUCCAGGUAAAUCCGGUUCACUUUAACACUGAGGCGUGAUGACGAGGCACUACGGUGCUGAAGCAACAAAUGCCCUGCUUCCAGGAAAAGCCUCUAAGCAUCAGGUAACAUCAAAUCGUACCCCAAACCGACACAGGUGGUCAGGUAGAGAAUACCAAGGCGCUUGAGAGAACUCGGGUGAAGGAACUAGGCAAAAUGGUGCCGUAACUUCGGGAGAAGGCACGCUGACACGUAGGUGAAGUGAUUUACUCAUGGAGCUGAAGUCAGUCGAAGAUACCAGCUGGCUGCAACUGUUUAUUAAAAACACAGCACUGUGCAAACACGAAAGUGGACGUAUACGGUGUGACGCCUGCCCGGUGCCGGAAGGUUAAUUGAUGGGGUCAGCGCAAGCGAAGCUCCUGAUCGAAGCCCCGGUAAACGGCGGCCGUAACUAUAACGGUCCUAAGGUAGCGAAAUUCCUUGUCGGGUAAGUUCCGACCUGCACGAAUGGCGUAAUGAUGGCCAGGCUGUCUCCACCCGAGACUCAGUGAAAUUGAACUCGCUGUGAAGAUGCAGUGUACCCGCGGCAAGACGGAAAGACCCCGUGAACCUUUACUAUAGCUUGACACUGAACAUUGAGCCUUGAUGUGUAG
rnacentral:rRNA from 2 species